rnacentral:lncRNA from 1 species
AUGUUAUACCACACACUUACCACGCUGACCCCAAAAAAGGAAAAUGGCAGUUGUUGAAGGAGUUGAAAGAAAAUAGGGGUAUGAAUACACCAUUGCAGGAGCUGUGAAUUGGCCUAGCAAUUCUGGAAAGCAAUUAUCCCCAAAGUCACUAAACUAUGGAUGCCCUUUGACCCAAUGAUGCCACUACUAGACCUAUGCCCCAAAGAGAUCAACGAAAGAGCAAAAGAUGCCAUAUAUAGACAAUUAUAUAUCAGUCCGUUUUUGUUAUAGAAGCUACUGGGGUGGUUAUCAUCCAGGGAAUUGCUAAAGAAAUUAUGGAAUAUGGAUGUAAUGAAAUAUUAUUGUACCAUGAAAAAGGAUUAAAGAGAUGCUUUCAGAAAACUUGGGAAGAUAUAUAAAGCGACACAGUAUCACCAUGAGAGUAAUUUAUACAAUAAUAACAUUGUAAAGAAAAUAACUUUGAAAUGCUUAUGAACUCUGCUCAAUGUAAUGACCAACUUCAGGAGACUAAUGAUAAAUCAUACUUCUGUAGCAAGGGAAGGCAGAAGUAGCAAGAGUAUGAUUGACAGGCCUGGAUUCCAAGAGCCACUGGGUCAGGAUUCUAAGCUGUUGAAAGGAGCAGGCUUCCAACUGACAGUCUGGAGCUGAAAGUGAAGCCUGCAAGGUGACGAUCUGAUCUCUCCUGAACUCCCCUGGACAGCUUGCAAGCAGCCUCUUUGAAUACCAUCAAACAAGGGGACACAGUAUUCUGCUCCACAUAUCUUUCCAGGAGAUGGAACUGGGUGACUUACAUUUAUUCUCUGGUGUAAAUGAGGACUGUUAGAGCCUCCUCUAAGAGAAGACUUUUCUAUUGGAGAGGACAGAGAAAGGAUGAGGUCACAGAAGAGACUACCAAGAAGGAGUGGAAGGACCCUAAAAAGAGAGGUGACCUUGGUUCCUCAAAUGCUGACCCAGUGGAACCAAUGAAUAUAGAUUCAGAGCUUCAAGAGAUUAUAAAGGCUAUCUAG